GAUGAACGCUGGCGGCGUGCCUAAUACAUGCAAGUCGAGCGAACGGACGAGAAGCUUGCUUUUCUGAUGUUAGCGGCGGACGGGUGAGUAACACGUGGGUAACCUACCUUUAAGACUGGGAUAACUUCUGGAAACCGGAGCUAAUACCGGAUAAUAUUUUGAACCACAUGGUUCAAAAUUGAAAGACGGUCUUGCAGUCACUUAUGAAUAGAUCCGCGCUGCAUUAGCUAGUUGUUAAGGUAACGGCUGACAAAGGAAACAAUGCAUACCAGACCUGAGAGGGUGAUCGCCAACACUGGAACUGAGACACGGUCAAGACCCCUACGGGAGGCAGAAGAAGGAAAUCUUCCGCAAUGGGCGAAAGCCUGACGGAGCAACGCCGCGUGAGUGAUGAAGGUCUUCGGAUCGUAAAACUCUGUUAUUAGGGAAGAACAUAUGUGUAAGUAACUGUGCACAUCUUGACGGUACCUAAUCAGAAAGCCACGGCUAACUACGUG
rnacentral:rRNA from 1 species